rnacentral:rRNA from 1 species
UAUAAACGACUCUCGGCAACGGAUAUCUCGGCUCACGCAUCGAUGAAGAACGUAGCAAAAUGCGAUACUUGGUGUGAAUUGCAGAAUCCCGUGAACCAUCGAGUUUUUGAACGCAAGUUGCGCCCGAAGCCUUUUGGCUGAGGGCACGUCUGCCUGGGCGUCACGC